GGGAGUACGCCGGCAACGGUGAACUCAAAGGAAUUGACGGGGGCCCGCACAAGCGGAGGAACAUGUGGUUUAAUUCGNUGAUACGCGAGGANCCUUACCCGGGCUUGAACGUAGGGAGACAGUUCUGGAAACAGAAUCUCUAGCAAUAGCUGCCUACGAGGUGCUGCAUGGUUGUCGUCAGCUCGUGCCGUGAGGUGUCGGCUUAAGUGCCAUAACGAGCGCAACCCACAUCGAUAGUUACUAACAGGUUAAGCUGAGGACUCUAUCGAGACUGCCAGCGUAAGCUGUGAGGAAGGUGUGGAUGACGUCAAAUCAGCACGGCCCUUACGUCCGGGGCGACACACGUGUUACAAUGGGAGGUACAAAGGGCAGCUACCUGGCGACAGGAUGCUAAUCUCUAAAACCUUUCUCAGUUCGGAUUGGAGUCUGCAACUCGACUCCAUGAAGCUGGAUUCGCUAGUAAUCGCGCAUCAGCCAUGGCGCGGUGAAUACGUUCCCGGGCCUUGUACACACCGCCCGUCAAGCCAUGGAAGCUGGGGGUACCUGAAGUAUGCAACCGCAAGGAGCGUCCUAGGGUAAAACCGGUAACUGGGGCU
rnacentral:rRNA from 1 species